rnacentral:rRNA from 1 species
CCUACGGGUCGCAGCAGUGAGGAAUAUUGGUCAAUGGACGAGAGUCUGAACCAGCCAAGUAGCGUGAAGGAUGACUGCACUAUGGGUUGUAAACUUCUUUUAUAAAGGAAUAAAACGAGGCACGUGUGCCUUUUUGCAUGUACUUUAUGAAUAAGGAUCGGCUAACUCCGUGCCAGCAGCCGCGGUAAUACGGAGGAUCCGAGCGUUAUCCGGAUUUAUUGGGUUUAAAGGGAGCGUAGAUGGGUUGUUAAGUCAGUUGUGAAAGUUUGCGGCUCAACCGUAAAAUUGCAAUGGAUACUGGCAGUCGUGAGUACAGUUGAGGUAAGCGGAAUUCGUGGUGUAGCGGUGAAAUGCUUAGAUAUCACGAAGAACCCCGAUUGCGAAGGCAGCUUACUAAACUGUGACUGACAUUGAUGCUCGAAAGUGUGGGUAUCAAACAGGAUUAGAUACCCUUGUAGUC